CCUACGGGUGGCAGCAGUGGGGGAUAUUGCACAAUGGGCGGAACCCUGAUCCAGCUACGCCGCGUGAGCGAUGACGUCCUUCGGUAUGUAAAGCUCUGUCAGCAGGGAAGAAAAUGACGGUACCUGACCAAGACGCCCCGGCUAAAUACGUGCCAGCAGCCACGGGAAUACGUAUGGGGCAAGCGUUAUCCGGAUUUACUGGGUGUAAAGGGAGCGGAGGCGGCAGGGCAAGACUGAUGUGAAAGCCCGGGGCUCAACCCCGGGACUGCAUUUGGGACUGCCCGGCUGGAGUGCCGGAGGGGCAGGCGGAAUUCCUAGUGUAGCGGUGAAAUGCGUAGAUAUUAGGAGGAACACCAGUGGCGAAGGCGGCCUGCUGGACGGCGACUGACGCUGAGGCUCGAAAGCGUGGGGAGCAAACAGGAUUAGAUACCCCAGUAGUC
rnacentral:rRNA from 1 species